CCUGGUGGGUUUACAUCUCUGCCAGUCUGUGCCAUCUCUGUCGGGCUUCAUUCCUUCUCCCGGGGUGUGUGACCUAUGUGAAGCUCACAGUUCUAUGAUGCUUUCUCUGGGGUCUUCCAGGGGAUCUCCUGCCCCCCGCCCCGAGAGGAGGAGAUGCAGGAGGGGGGAUAGGAGAUUCUGACUGGAACCCACAGAGGAGCUAGGUGAAGCUGGAGAAGCCACGCAUUUUCCUCAGUGAAAAUCGGAUGGACACUCACAACGCCUGGCCUACGUUGCCAUCUGCUUAAAGGAGAUCAAAUACAGGGGAGUGACUUGUGAAUUACAAAGCACCAUACAAAUAUCAAUUACCAUUAUGGUCCUUGACUUCCCAGCAGUCCCCAGGGGCUGGAAUAAGAGCCAGUAACUUACAGAAUAAUGAGAAUAAUGACUAACAAUUAUGCAGUACUCACAGCUCUGAGGAACCACACUUCAUGUGAAGUAUUUAAUUCCUCGACCCCUAGCGUAGAUAUUGUACUAGGCCUUUCGGCUCCAGGCGAGGACUGGAGGUGUGGAGGGCUUGUGGUCGGGAGUUCAAGUUUUCCCUUCAGCAAACACAAACAUCCUGCUCCAGGAGGGUCCACUCUUUUGCAGUGCUGUGGUGUGGAUGCGACGUGUCCCUCAAAACUCCUGUUGAUGCAGGAAUAUGCAGAGGGCAGGUGCUCAGCCUCUUCCUGUUGACCGGAAUGGUUUCCUCCUGGUUCAUGGGCACCUGGAGAAGGAGGCGGGAUUUCCUACCUGUUCACAGUUCCAGGGCUCCUGAAACCCUGCCAGGGAACGCCACAAGAACCCCCAUUUCCUGGGAGAUCUGGACACGAUUCCUGUUUUACAAGCCCUGGGACAAGCCGAGUCGCACUCUGCAAGCCAAACUCCCCACUGGGCCACACCCUCGCCCUGGACACACUGGGACCACUGACUCCAGGUGAAGAACAGCAGCGCUGGAAAUUUGUCCUCCUGGUGCACGCCAUGAAGUAAGCAUCUUCCUCUGUGAGUUACUCCCACCAAGACACGCCACCUUGCCACAGACCAAAGCAACAGGGCCAAUGGAUCAUGGAAUGGAACCUCCACAGCAGUGAGUCAAAAUAAACCUUUCCUCUUUUUGAGUAUCUAAGACAUUUUGUUACAGUAGUGGGAA